UACGGGGGGAGCAAGCGUUGUUCGGAUUUACUGGGCGUAAAGGGCGCGUAGGCGGCCACCGCAAGUCGACUGUGAAAUCUCCGGGCUUAACCCGGAAAGGUCAGCCGAUACUGCGGGGCUAGAGUGCAGAAGGGGCAACUGGAAUUCUCGGUGUAGCGGUGAAAUGCGUAGAUAUCGAGAGGAACACCUGCGGCGAAGGCGGGUUGCUGGGCCGACACUGACGCUGAUGCGCGAAAGUGUGGGGAGCGAACAGG
rnacentral:rRNA from 1 species